rnacentral:rRNA from 1 species
CUCAUUAAAUCAGUUAUCGUUUAUUUGAUAGUACCUUACUACUUGGAUAACCGUGGUAAUUCUAGAGCUAAUACAUGCUAAAAACCCCAACUUCGGGAGGGGUGUAUUUAUUAGAUAAAAAACCAACGCCCUUCGGGGCUCCUUGGUGAAUCAUAAUAACUUAACGGAUCGCAUGGCCUUGCGCCGGCGACGGUUCAUUCAAAUUUCUGCCCUAUCAACUUUCGAUUGUAGGGUAUUGGCCUACAAUGGUAUCAACGGGUAACGGGGAAUUAGGGUUCGAUUCCGGAGAGGGAGCCUGAGAAACGGCUACCACAUCCAAGGAAGGCAGCAGGCGCGCAAAUUACCCAAUCCCGACACGGGGAGGUAGUGACAAUAAAUACUGAUACAGGGCUCUUUUGGGUCUUGUAAUUGGAAUGAGUACAAUUUAAAUCCCUUAACGAGGAACAAUUGGAGGGCAAGUCUGGUGCCAGCAGCCGCGGUAAUUCCAGCUCCAAUAGCGUAUAUUAAAGUUGUUGCAGUUAAAAAGCUCGUAGUUGAACCUUGGGCCUGGCUGGCCGGUCCGCCUCACCGCGUGCACUGGUCCGGCCGGGCCUUUCCUUCUGGAGAGCCGCAUGCCCUUCACUGGGUGUGUCGGGGAACCAGGACUUUUACUUUGAAAAAAUUAGAGUGUUCAAAGCAGGCCUUUGCUCGAAUACAUUAGCAUGGAAUAAUAGAAUAGGACGUGCGGUUCUAUUUUGUUGGUUUCUAGGACCGCCGUAAUGAUUAAUAGGGAUAGUCGGGGGCAUCAGUAUUCAAUUGUCAGAGGUGAAAUUCUUGGAUUUAUUGAAGACUAACUACUGCGAAAGCAUUUGCCAAGGAUGUUUUCAUUAAUCAGUGAACGAAAGUUAGGGGAUCGAAGACGAUCAGAUACCGUCGUAGUCUUAACCGUAAACUAUGCCGACUAGGG